GCCUGGUGCGGUGGCUCACACCUGUAAUCCCAGCAGUUUGGGAGGCCAAGGCGGGGAGAUCAUGAGGUCAGGAGUUUGAGACCAGCCUGGUCAACAUGGUGAAACCCUGUCUCUACUAAAAAUACAAAAAUUAGCCGGGCAUGGUGGGUGCCUGUAAUGGCAGCUACUAAGGAGGCUGAGGCAGGAGAAUCACUUGAACCCAGGAAGCUAAAUUUUGUAUUUUUAGUAGAAAUGGGGUUUUGCCAUGUUGGCCAGGCUGGUCUCGAGCUCCUGACCUCAGAUGAUCCACCUGCCUC
ensembl:misc_RNA Metazoa_SRP Metazoan signal recognition particle RNA